CUCUUUCCUCUUGUGAGCGAAGUGUGCUACCUCGUGGUAACACUGUGGUCUAGCUGAAAUAAUGAAAUGCACUAAUAUGCUGUCACCUAGCAGCCUAUACAGCUGCCAACCUACUAGUGAAAGUAUGCUGCAUAAUAGGAUGAGCCGUUGACACUGUGGAAGCUGUUGUGGAAAAGAGGGUGGUGAUGAAAUUGAAUGCCAUUAUGAAAAAUCCCCUCCAGGAAGUGCUUUCUUGGAGUAUUUUUAGCCACAGGCUCAUUGCACUACGAUGUGUUAAGUAUCACCUUUGGAGGUCUUUUCUGCCCACUGCUAUCAGGCAAUUCAGUGCUUCCUCAAAAUUGGCUUACCUCUGUUAAUGAGAUGUGACCAUCGGCUAUCAUCUAGUACCCAAUACAAGCACCCACCAAGCCAUCUUCCAAUUAUUUUGCACUCAACUGUACUGAACAAUGCUAGUGAUUUCCCAGUAAGCAUACUACAAACUUUUAUGAGUUAACUGUUGAUGUGGAAUUUAUAUGAAAAUGAAGUACUGGUAAUUUGGAAACAACAAAUCUUGUACCCCAUGGAAACUUGACCUGCAACAUGAUAAAGGUCUCCUAUAAUCAAAGAUUUCCUCUGAAAUUUCCAUAUUGUCCAAGUUACUAAGACUGUAUUUGGACUUGCCCAGGCCUAUUAUGACUGAAAAAUUUGUCCCUUCAAACUGAUGUGUGAAGGCCGUAUCAGGUGCUGCUUAACACAGUGUUGUAAGUUUUGUUUUAAAAAAAAAAAAAACGUUUAUAUUCUAGUUUCUGAUAAUGAAGAGUGUUGAAUGGGUUCAUUUUUAAUGCUAAAAAUUGUGGUUAGUAUUUUACAAAAAAUUUAAGCCAAAUUGUGCAUUUAAUUGUAUGUUAAUGUAGUGUUUGUGUGUGCAAACCUACCCAACCAGCUAGUAAAAUUGCUUAAGGGUAUACAUAAAUCACUAUAGCCAACAUACCAGCUGGCUAAGUGCUCUUGCUGUGAUAAAAAAAUCCUGUUUGAUGAAUUGAAUCAAAAAUUAAGGAUGCUGAAGUCUCGGUUUCUGAAUAUAUAUGUUUAGUCAUUCUUUCCUCUUUAUUACCAUUUUAACCCUUUGCGGUCGUUAGGCCAGAAAACUGGCCUUAGUAAAAAGUGUGCUAUAGGUCGUCAGGCCACCGCUGGUGGCCCUGCAAGUUUCUGACCGAUUUGCACAGUCGCCUGGUCGAGAAAAGUGGCCUGUGUUAUUCCUACGUGCUUGAAAAAAAUAACUGCUGUAAUUAUUGGCGUUUUUUCAAUAAUUAAUUACGACUAAUGUAGCGUGACAUUGAAAAUUAAAUACGACUGCAAAGGGUUAAUGUUGCAAUAUUAAUUUAUUUUCUCAUAGUGGACAAAAUGUUGGGUAGUGGUAAUGUUAUUUAUCUAUGAUGCUGGGUAUAUUGGGAGAAGGAUGCUAAGGGUAGAGCUGUCAGGGAAGAGGAAAAGAGGAUGGCCUAAGCGAAGGUUUAUGGAUGUGGUGAGAAAGGACAUGCAGAUGAUGGGUGUAACAGAACAAGGACAUGCAGAGGACAGAAAGAUAUGGAAGUUGGUGAUCUGCCGUGGCAACCCCUAACGAGAGCAGCUGAAAGAAGAUUUAUGGGACAGUCUGUACUGCAUUUAAGGGCUUCCCUUAUUUUUUUCCCCCACUCCUUCAGUGGGUUUUUUUUUUUUGUUGUUUUUUAAUCUGCAUUCACUGCCUGAAAAAAAUAUAAAUGUAAUCCUCAAUAAUUGUUUCAAAACUACGUGUUGUAAAAAUGCAUUAUUGCCAUUGAUGGAUGUUUGUUACUUUAUAAAGUCUGAAAUCCCUUUAUUUGGUAAAAAGACAACUUAAAGUUGUGUGCGUUUUUUUUUUUUUUUGUUUUUUUUUAAUUUUAUGAUGUAAG